rnacentral:rRNA from 1 species
GACGAACGCUGGCGGCGUGCUUAACACAUGCAAGUCGAACGGAAAGGCCCCUUUGGGGGUACUCGAGUGGCGAACGGGUGAGUAACACAUGAGUAACCUGCCCUUGACUUCGGGAUAACUUCAGGAAACUGGGGCUAAUACCGGAUAGGAAUCCUUGCUGCAUGGUGGGGGUUGGAAAGCUUCGGCGGUUUUGGAUGGACUCGCGGCUUAUCAGCUUGUUGGUGGGGUAGUGGCUUACCAAGGCUUUGACGGGUAGCCGGCCUGAGAGGGCGACCGGCCACAUUGGGACUGAGAUACGGCCCAGACUCCUACGGGAGGCAGCAGUGGGGAAUAUUGCACAAUGGGCGGAAGCCUGAUGCAGCAACGCCGCGUGCGGGAUGACGGCCUUCGGGUUGUAAACCGCUUUCAGCAGGGGCGAAGCUUGUGGUGACGGUACCUGCAGAAGAAGCACCGGCUAACUACGUG